AAAAUAAACAUACUGAAGAUUGAGUCGAUUCUGUUAUUAUUACGGGUAAUUACAGACAUUCUUUCUCGAGAACCGGAAUGUUGAUUAUAACUUAACCCCACGGGAAUUGAAACCUGGUUCUCGGACAUGCGUAUUCGGUGCUCUACCAUUGAGCAACGAAUGACAUGUUAUAUGAAAUCCCUAAUUAAUCACUUAUUUUAACUCAAGCAGUCUCUAAUUGCGAAAGACAUCUGGUGGACAAUUUUGUGACAAUCUGAAUUUUUGUCAUCCAUUUUAAUCGAUCCGUUAUGUAUGUCAUCCAGAACUUACAAAGUUAUAUCCGUGUUAUCUCUCAUAGUUUUUCGUAUUCAGAAGAAUAAUUCAACUAUAAUCUAACAGGAAACUACUGAACCCUCAAAUUAUGGGCAACCCACAUCCAUUGCUUUCCACCAUCAUGCUUUUACAUACAAACAUAAAGCACAAGGGAUGCUGACACUGCUGAAGAAAUUGCGAGCAGCAUAUGUCUUUUGAUUACCAUCAUGGCAUUUCUCAGUGAGAGGAUUCAUAGUCUAGUCAUCUCUAUCCUAAGUGACAUGAUUAUGUUAUUACUAUACAGUUUGUGAAAGUAAAAGUACAGAAGGAGCUAAUCACAGAGUACAACUUACUAGCUUUCAACCAUCAGGUGCAGAGUGGUAAUCCUUGUGAGCCAACAUUCAAAUAGCACCUUGUCAGUAGCUUUCUCCUCAUCCACAUUUAGCAAGCUAGCAUACAUAGGCUGAAACAUCAUAUUCCACCAUGAACUGCAAGUCUUCAUCUUCCUUCUGUGAAAAAUUGCCGUCCGGGCAAUUUCUGCUUUUCUCGCCCCCAGUGGACCACACGCAACUAUCCUGCCAUCUUCUUCCGUCCGGUACAAAAUCAACCAUCAGGAAUCCGGCCGUUCUGUCAUCUCCUGCUAGAGCUAUCUAACCAAUAAUGCCCUGGUCUAGCAAGACGGGAAACAUCACGUCUAUGCCAUGUACUCUCCGCGUCUUGGUCUUCGCCUUCGCCUCAUCGCUGUCCCCGAGCCAUCAUCCAAUAACCCAAUGGCUUAGCAACACAGAAAAGAUGACCAAACAGGAGUGCGAUUCGGCAGGUAGCCUACAGUGAUGGAUGGAAUUCACCGCUGAUCGUUGCCUUGGUAUUGUUUUGUUUGAUUGUUUUGCAUUGUAGUGUAUAAGUUAACCCGUUGGCUGCCACCCCGUUUGCGUCCCAUUUUUUUUUGUAGCUUUUAGGGACCGGGCGCUGUUCUGCCUCAUGGUCUAUGCCAUGGGGGGGGACAGUCGCCGCGCCUUUAGGCGCCGUAGGCAAUGCACCAGUAGGGACUUCUCUUUGUCGGUGCGGUGGUAGAUUCCUGGGGUGUGCAUUCCCGGAAUGGUUUCUAUCACCGUGCCAGCCCGGACUUGUUUUCGGACAAGUCCCACCUUGUUCGCGAUCCUUCUGACGUGAUGUGUAGCAACUGUAGUUUAAGCAACCUACGGGUUGCAUGGCCUGGCAGCCAACGGGUUAACUUAGUUAAGUGUAUGUAUAUUUUGUAUGUAUUAAUAUGUAUGUCAUUUGAAAUGUAUUAUGUAAUAUGUUGUG